rnacentral:rRNA from 1 species
UACAGAGGUCUCGAGCGUUAGGCGGAAUCACUGGGCUUAAAGCGUGUGUAGGCGGAUCGGUAAGUACCUUGUGAAAUCCCACAGCUUAACUGUGGAACUGCUCGGUAUACUGCCAGUCUUGAGCCAGCUAGGGGCUACCGGAACAAAUGGUGGAGCGGUGAAAUGCGUAGAUAUCAUUUGGAACGCCAAUGGUGAAAACAGGUAGCUGGGGCUGUGCUGACGCUGAGACACGAAAGCCAGGGGAGCAAACAGG